ACGGGUGAGUAACACGUGGGAACGUACCCUUAUCUUCGGAAUAGCUCCGGGGAACUGGAAUUAAUACCGAAUGCGCCCUUUGGGGGAAAGAUUUAUCGGAUAAGGAUCGGCCCGCGUUGGAUUAGCUAGUUGGUGGGGUAAAGGCCUACCAAGGCGACGAUCCAUAGCUGGUCUGAGAGGAUGAUCAGCCACAUUGGGACUGAGACACGGCCCAAACUCCUACGGGAGGCAGCAGUGGGGAAUAUUGGACAAUGGGCGCAAGCCUGAUCCAGCCAUGCCGCGUGAGUGAUGAAGGCCUUAGGGUUGUAAAGCUCUUUCACCGGAGAGAUAAUGACGGUAUCCGGAGAAGAAGCCCCGGCUAACUUCGUGCCAGCAGCCGCGGUAAUACGAAGGGGGCUAGCGUUGUUCGGAAUUACUGGGCGUAAAGCGCACGUAGGCGGACAUUUAAGUCAGAGGUGAAAUCCCGGAGCUCAACUUCGGAACUGCCUUUGAUACUGGGUGUCUUGAGUAUGGAAGAGGUUAGUGGAAUUGCGAGUGUAGAGGUGAAAUUCGUAGA
rnacentral:rRNA from 1 species